GUGGGUCCUGUACAGUUUCCACUGGUUUCUGAAAAUGUUAAUUCCCAUUUUGUGGACUAUUAGGAAAACACUGGCCUAAACACCGUCUAAGCUCUCUUCUAACACCAAGUUCUACAAGUCCGCAAAACUGAUCUUAGGUGCGAGUGUGCUCUGCUAAUUGCAAUCGUCUAAUUGCUGUUUUUAGUUUGCUCCCUUAAUGCUAGAAAUGUGGAAAACAAGGAGGACCCCUUGGAAUCCGGAAGAGGUCAUCUGAGGAUACGGGCUGGGCAGGUUUCUGCCACUUCACACCGAGGGUGGAAAACACAUGGAACUCGUUGGGCCCGAGAGGCUGUACCAGCUAAAAAUACAAACAAGUUGAAGAAGAGUUUAGAUGAACUCAUGGUUUCCUGCUGCAUAAAUACUGCUGGGAUAGACGCUGCUGGUUACUGCUUUAUGGAGAAGUAACAAUAAAUCUCAAAAUCUCA